AGAGCGAACGCUGGCGGCAGGCCUAACACAUGCAAGUCGAGCGCCCGUAGCAAUACGGGAGCGGCAGACGGGAUAGUAACACGUGGGAACGCGCCCUUCGGUUCGGAAUAACUCAGGGAAACUUGAGCUAAUACCGAAUACGCCCUUACGGGGAAAGAUUUAUUGCCGAAGGAACGGCCCGCGUCCGAUUAGCUAGUUGGUGAGGUAAUGGCUCACCAAGGCUACGAUCGGUAGCUGGUCUGAGAGGAUGACCAGCAUCACUGGGACUGAGACACGGCCCAGACUCCUACGGGAGGCAGCAGUGGGGAAUAUUGGACAAUGGGCGCAAGCCUGAUCCAGCCAUGCCGCGUGGAUGAUGAAGGCCUUAGGGUUGUAAAGUCCGUUUUAACGGGGAAGAUAAUGACGGUACCCGUAGAAUAAGCCCGGCUAACUUCGUGCCAGCAGCCGC
rnacentral:rRNA from 1 species